rnacentral:rRNA from 1 species
UGGGGGAAUAUUGCACAAUGGGGGAAACCCUGAUGCAGCAACGCCGCGUGAGUGAUGACGGCCUUCGGGUUGUAAAGCUCUGUCUUCAGGGACGAUAAUGACGGUACCUGAGGAGGAAGCCACGGCUAACUACGUGCCAGCAGCCGCGGUAAUACGUAGGUGGCGAGCGUUGUCCGGAUUUACUGGGCGUAAAGGGAGCGUAGGUGGAUUUUUAAGUGAGAUGUGAAAUACUCGGGCUUAACCUGAGUGCUGCAUUUCAAACUGGAAGUCUAGAGUGCAGGAGAGGAGAAGGGAAUUCCUAGUGUAGCGGUGA